rnacentral:rRNA from 1 species
CAAGGUUUCCGUAGGUGAACCUGCGGAAGGAUCAUUGUCGAAAUCGAACGGAAGAACGACCCGCGAAUCGUCGUAGCGUACCAGAUAGAGCCCGUGAGCGCCCGACGCUCGCGCGGCUCGCGUCGCGUCGGCGCGGGUGUGCUCGAGACCCGCGUCGCACCGGCGAACAAACAACGUCAGCACGGAUCGUGCCAAGGAGCUGCAUGGAGAGAAUCGUCGCCCCACGCCUUCGGUCGUCCUCGACGGGGGGCGGGGGACGUACGCGAUCUCUGAUCGAGUCAAAACGACUCUCGGCAACGGAUAUCUCGGCUCUUGCAUCGAUGAAGAACGUAGCGAAAUGCGAUACUUGGUGUGAAUUGCAGAAUCCCGCGAACCAUCAAUUCUUUGAACGCAAGUUGCGCCCGAAGCCAUUCGGCCGAGGGCACGCCUGCCUGGGCGUCGUGAAUCCCCUUGCCCCCUGGGCACCCCCGCACGAGCGUCGGCGGGAGUAUAUGCUCGGGCGCAGAAUGUGGCCUCCCGUGGGAUCGGCACGCACGGCGUGCCGAGGAGCGGUUGGCCGAAAAUCGAGCAUGGCGGUGACGGGCACCACGGCGUUCGGUGGAUCGAACGAGAUUGGCUGCGUCGUGGGCUCGGCAUGCUGCGGGCUCCGGACUUUGACAAAUCCCCGAGUGCGAUCCCAGGUCAGGCGGGGCUACCCGCUGAGUUUAAGCAUAUCAAUAAGCGGAGGAAAAGAAACUAACGAGGAUUCCCUUAGUAGCGGCGAGCGAACCGGGAAGAGCCCAGCGUGAAAAUCGUCC